CAGCAGUAGCUCAGCAAGGUAGAGCGCACGACUUUGUCGUGAGGCCCUGGUUCAAUUCCGGGCUGUUGAA
rnacentral:tRNA from 1 species